GACGAACGCUGGCGGCGUGCUUAACACAUGCAAGUCGAACGGAAAGGCCCUGCUUGCAGGGUACUCGAGUGGCGAACGGGUGAGUAACACGUGGGUGAUCUGCCCUGCACUUCGGGAUAAGCCUGGGAAACUGGGUCUAAUACCGGAGAGGAGCCAUUUUUAGUGUUAUGGUUGGAAAGUUUUUUCGGUGUAGGAUGAGCUCGCGGCCUAUCAGCUUGUUGGUGGGGUAAUGGCCUACCAAGGCGGCGACGGGUAGCCGGCCUGAGAGGGUGGACGGCCACAUUGGGACUGAGAUACGGCCCAGACUCCUACGGGAGGCAGCAGUGGGGAAUAUUGCACAAUGGGCGCAAGCCUGAUGCAGCGACGCCGCGUGGGGGAUGACGGCCUUCGGGUUGUAAACUCCUUUCGCUAGGGACGAAGCUUUUUGUGACGGUACCUAGAUAAGAAGCACCGGCUAACUACGUG
rnacentral:rRNA from 1 species